CUUUGUUCCUGGCUUAAUUUGUCAAAGACACCGAACGGUUGUUCGUCAUAAAAGCCACGUUAGUGCUUGUUAUGUCAAUAGCUGUCGUUAUAGCGCAACCGCCCUAUUAGUUAAAACCGCAUUUCCAUGGAUUAGGUGGUCCACUUGGCUACCAUGGAUUUCAUCGUUUUCAUAGAUACCAUGGCUUAGAUAGUGGUUUUCAUACAUUCUCUGGAUUCCGUCAACUUGGAGCAUUUGAAGCUAACAGACUUGGCUUUGGUAGAUUUGAUAGUUUUGUUGACGAUGGCGGUUUCCUUGGCUUUCACAUCAAUGAAGGUUUCUUUGGCGGCGAUGAUGAUGGCAUUUUUGGCGUUAACGGCGGCUUUGGUGGCGUUGAGAGCGGCUUUGUCAGCGAUGACGGUGGUUGGCUUUGGUGGUGAUAACUGAGAGUGUCGGACUGCACGGAAAAUCUCAUCUUCUCAUCUUUCAGGCGUUUACUCAUUUCUUCGUGCGUCCUAUUAUUUGGACAUUUUAUUCAUCCAGAAACAUUACUUCUUUUUGUUACUUUACCGUAGUUAUUUAUUAUCAUAUGGCUUAAGAACUGAAUCGAUCGGCUUUUUAUAGUCUGUAAAGGUAUAAAUUAUUGUUUCUUUAAUCCCUAAUGAAUUUUGAAAAUAUGCAUACAAGAGAAAAAUUUUCGAAGUGUGUUAAGAUGUUGUGUUUUUUUUUUUUCAGAUAUUAAUUCAUUGUUUAAAACAAUGUGAAAUAGGCAUGUUCUCAUAAUGUCAAACUAAAGCAUUCGAAUAAGUAUCAAGAAUCAAAACUUAUAAGCAACUAUAGGGAACCAAGCAUUGGACAUUACAGGUUAAGGCAACAUACCUUUUAAAAUUACACGAAAGGAUGAGUGCAUUUGUUCCAGAGGAAGUUGAAAUGAAAUAGUCAUAUGAAAGUGCAUACUUUCCGGAUAGUCUGAGUAUGUCAAUCGAUCAAUGCGAAACCAAUUAUUCUACACGAAAAACAAAAAAGGAAAUUUUAAAACUAGAAAACACCAGGUCACAUGGAUAUUCCAACAAACUUGACAGUGCCUAAUUUGUUUUAUAUAAUGUGUACAGUGAUUGUUUUCCUUGUAUAAAAGUACUUCAAACAUGGUCCUAAGGAAUUAUCUCCCCUAUACGUAAAUCUUCAACAUCAAAUCCAAGAGACCCUGUGACAUGCAGAUUCAAUUUUGGCGGUAUUAAUAAUCGGAUUUAAAAAUGAACAAAAUAUUUUUGUGAAGGGUAGGGGUACGCUUGAUCGUGUAAAAGGUCUUAUGUAAUAACAUAUCAACAAUUGCUGCUUUCAUUGAUUUCAAACAAUUCCUUUGAUUUUAUCAACCAUUAGGACGUUAUUGUAAAAUAGCGUUGGUGAACUGCUAAGAGCAAUGUUCUCGAUAUAUAGAGACAUUACAUGUUGUGUCAGCCUAAUAUGUUUUUAGACAAACCAACAACAUUCAGUCAGAAUAUUUAUAUGCGCAACAGUAUACCAGGGCUGUUGAAAAGUUUUUCUUAAAAAAAAAACAGAAAUUGUGGAUUAUCUGCACCUCAGAGGCUAGGUUAGAAAAAAAUGUGCGGAACUUUUUUCUUGUUAUGCAUAUAAGGUAAAAAUAGAUUCGCACUCAGCCGAAGAUCUGCCAUUAUUUUGCAAAAUUUCGCUGAUAAGUAUUUAAAACUGGUUGAUAUGUGAAUUCAGUAUAGAAAAGAAAACUUGUUAAAACUGCCUUUUAUCUCUUAAAGAUGAAGACACAUGUAUUUGAGUGCCGAUUGCAUUACUGUAUGCCUCAGUACAAAAAUCUGUAAUCUAGAUUGAUGAAAAUUAUCUGAUUUAUAAAGAACAUAGAAAGAAAUAGUCUUCUUAAAUUAUAAUAAAGUUUAUUGCCGUGCUAAAAUUAGCCCCUAGAAUUCGAGGUUAGGAAGUGUUUUACUUUAUAGUAAAUAGUCUAAUCUUUUAGCCUGUACAUGUAUUAGUUUUUGUACCGAGGAAGCAUCUAUUGUUAGUUAAUGUUCCAUGGAAUAAUAUCGUUUUUAUGUAUUUUAUUAAUCGGCUUUUUAGUAAAAUGAGGUUUCUGCUUUCAGUUUUUAGUUUUUACUAAGCCUCUAUUACAACACAAACUAAGCAUUCAAAUUGUUAUACAGUAGAUUGAAUAGAGGCAAAGAAUGGCUUUUAUGCUUACUCGUUUGUCAAGUUGCAAACUAAUGUCUCCAAUAAUUCUUUCAUACAUUUUAGCUUUAUAAUAUGUAAUUAUGUUGCAUGACGUAUAAGCAACCGUGGCUAUGAUAAAAUAUAUUGUGUUGUAAUGUAAUUUAUGGUACUAUAGUGUGAUUCCAUAGACUAGAAAAGUGUUCAACACGUGUUCUUUAAGGUAGUUCUGCCCGUUUGGAUCGAAAAAAAAAUCUACAAUGUAAAAAAGUAUUUAACCCUGAGGUUUCAAAACUUCAGAACAUGCUUAAAAAUUCAGCAAAUAGAAAUGAUAGGGUCGUGUGCUUGAUAUUUUGCUAGACGGAUUUGGGAAAAGAAAUGGACCUGACGCAUUUUUCAUAAUUGGAGUCCAUGGGAAAAUCACAGGUUUCAUAAUAUUUUCGUAGAUUUUAAUGACACUUCACACGGUAAUAAAUAAACAUAUGGUCUGUAAUAUAUAGAAGUAAAAUGUUUAGGUCCGUGUGAUUAUUUGUGAGAUAUUUGACCAUACUUAAAGUGAACCGCACAUUUCAAGAUAAAUUAAGACAUUAUUUUGAACUAUUUAACUAUUUUCUCAGAUGUUUUAAUAUCAUAUUUUUAACUUUCGAAAGAUAGUAACAGUGCCAUUGAAGUAAAUUUACUCACGAGUUGCCAUUAAUUCAUAACAUGAGUUUCAUUUCCGUACGCUGAAUACAGGCUUUAUUCUACGUUUUCCGGAAAAUGACGUUACGCCAUCACUUCGGGUUUAUCAAACGUGCAGAACUACCUUUAAACAAACUUUACUCAUUAUUAAGUCAUUAUUAAGGUUUCCUACUAAAAUCGUUAAAAAACAUUUCAUGUUUUGCUAGAAUUCAGAUAAUAAAAAGACGUAAAACUAGCAACUGAAUCGUAUUUCUCUCGUCGGACAUUACACCUUUUACUGACUGAUUUUUACAAACUUCUAUUAACAAUAAUUAGUUUUAUUUAGCGGUCAUAUGAUAUUAAUAUAGCAUUUUUACUAUUUUUUUUUCUCGAUUUCCGUAUAAUAAUAUUGUAUACAGUGAAACUAUGUUUGACCGUGGAAAAUAUGUUUUGUUCUCAUCACGUCGAUGAUUAAGAAUAUCAUAAACUUAAGGAUCGUCUGCUGCAUAAAGCUCCCCGAUAAGUGUAUGUAUGUUCGUUUUAAUGUAUUGCUAAAUUUGCAAUUAUAUUAAUUAACAGCCAACUACAGGAAAAUAAUCCAUCUAAUAGUAUUUAACGCUUAUAGAAAAUAGGAUUUUGUACAUACUGAUAAAUUCAGCUGCUUUACAAGAUAAUGUUUGUUGAAAGUGAUUUGUUCUUAUAGCCUAAUUGAUGCUGUGUAUUUUUAUGAUUAUGCAUUUUUGUAUAUAAAUUUAUAUAAUAUAUUGUAACAGGUAUAUUUAUAUGCGGAACUGACAGCAAAUCUAAAACUGCUUUUUCCUCAUCUCUUUUAUCGUUUUAGUGGAUGCUUAUUUAUUUCUUGUGAAUGAUCGCUGUCUGUAUUAAUAAAUCAUUAUUG